GGCCUUUCGGAUCGGCAGCUGGCGAGCCAAUCAGAAUCAUCCGGCUGUUGGUUUCCCUGGAAACAGAAUCAGUUAAACCGUCAGAGCCCCAACCAGACUGUCUGGUGAAUCUGGACAAGAUGGCCCUUCUGAGUCAGUCUGGACUUCAGACUGAGGCGCACUCGUGAGUCAGGGGAAUAUAGGUGGAAAGGUGGAAAUCAGGCUCAAGCCAGCCAGACACACACACCAUGUGGGUGUGCCCAGCACCUUGGGGGAUGAAACAGCUUCUAGUGGAGGGACUCCCCUGGAUAGGAAGCCACCGUGCCUGCUUAUACUGAAGACCAGCUGAGACAUCAGCUUUGUGGACGGAACAAUUUCUGGAUUCUUGGACUUUUUGUUUACAGCCUGCCAUUGUUGGAUUAGCUACUAGCUGGGUCACAACACGGUCCCUUGUGAAGGAAGGGAACGGUGAUGCCAUAGAAUUAGACCUGAGAUCAUCCAGAAUCAUCUAACUAGACGGAGGGAUACUGUGCUUUCUUAUAUUUAUAGCUGAGCCAGAAUCCUUUUGUUUCUUCUUCUUGCCAAAUUCCUUCCUAGAACGUCCAACUCACUGUUGAAUAGAAGUAUCUAUUGAAGGUAGUAUUCUCAUCUUCCUAUUCAUCUGUGGGCUUUCGUGGAUGCCCUCUAUCGGCAGGAGGUAUGUUCCUUCUUGAUCCUCCCUCAACAACUGUUUUCCUUAUGAAGAGGUACUAGAUUUAUGUACCCCAUACUUUGUG
rnacentral:lncRNA from 1 species